AUUGAACGCUGGCGGCAUGCCUUACACAUGCAAGUCGAACGGCAGCACGGGUGCUUGCACCUGGUGGCGAGUGGCGAACGGGUGAGUAAUACAUCGGAACAUGUCCUGUAGUGGGGGAUAGCCCGGCGAAAGCCGGAUUAAUACCGCAUACGAUCUACGGAUGAAAGCGGGGGACCUUCGGGCCUCGCGCUAUAGGGUUGGCCUAUGGCUGAUUAGCUAUUUGGUGGGGUAAAGGCCUACCAAGGCGACGAUCAGCAGCUGGUCUGAGAGGACGACCAGCCACACUGGGACUGAGACACGGCCCAGACUCCUACGGGAGGCAGCAGUGGGGAAUUUUGGACAAUGGGCGAAAGCCUGAUCCAGCAAUGCCGCGUGUGUGAAGAAGGCCUUCGGGUUGUAAAGCACUUUUGUCCGGAAAGAAAUCCUUGGCCCUAAUACGGUCGGGGAAUGACGGUACCGGAAGAAUAGGCACCGGCUAACUACGU
rnacentral:rRNA from 1 species